AAGUCGUAACAAGGUUUCCGUAGGUGAACCUGCGGAAGGAUCAUUACCGAGUGAGGGCCCUCUGGGUCCAACCUCCCACCCGUGUUUAUUUUACCUUGUUGCUUCGGCGGGCCCGCCUUAACUGGCCGCCGGGGGGCUCAUGCCCCGGGCCGCGCCCGCCGAAGACACCUCGAACUCUGUCUGAAGAUUGAAGUCUGAGUGAAAAUAUAAAUUAUUUAAAACUUUCAACAACGGAUCUCUUGGUUCCGGCAUCGAUGAAGAACGCAGCGAAAUGCGAUACGUAAUGUGAAUUGCAAAUUCAGUGAAUCAUCGAGUCUUUGAACGCACAUUGCGCCCCCUGGUAUUCCGGGGGCAUGCCUGUCCGAGCGUCAUUGCUGCCCUCAAGCCCGGCUUGUGUGUUGGGCCCCGUCCUCCGAUCUCCGGGGGACGGGCCCGAAAGGCAGCGGCGGCGCCGCGUCCGGUCCUCGAGCGUAUGGGGCUUUGUCACCCGCUCUGUAGGCCCGGCCGGCGCUUGCCGAUCAACCCAAAUUUUUAUCCAGGUUGACCUCGGAUCAGGUAGGGAUACCCGCUGAACUUAA
rnacentral:rRNA from 1 species